CUUUAGUCGCGGUUGGCCAGCCCAACCGCGACUAAAGGUGCCCGAAGGCCUUUAGUCGCGGUUGGCCAGGCCAACCGGGACUAAAGGCCCUCCCCUAUAUAUAACAAUCCAGCAGCCAACACUUAGCCAUUUGGUGCCAUUCUCUUCACAAGCUCACAAGUGGGUGUUAGGUUUGCUUUUGGUUCCUCUUAUGCACAUAAGGUGUUUGAUGAAAUGCCCCAAGAGCAUGAAACAAACAUGAUAUGAAGUGUUGGAGCCACACUUGAGCUUUCUCAUUUAUUUUUUCCUCCUCGAUCGCGAUGAAUCGACAAUGGAUGUACGGUAACCGACUCUCCGGCGAGUUCAGUGCGGGUUUGAAAGAUUUCCUCGUAGUGGCUAAUGCGAACAAGCAGGAGGGUUUUGUUAUCUGUCCAUGUGUUAAAUGUAAGAAUCAGAAGGGUUACUCUUCCUCAA